rnacentral:rRNA from 1 species
UACGUAGGGGGCAAGCGUUGUCCGGAAUCAUUGGGCGUAAAGCGCGCGUAGGCGGCCCGGUAAGUCCGCUGUAAAAGUCCAGGGCUCAACCCUGGAAAGCCGGUGGAUACUGUCGGGCUAGAGUCCGGAAGAGGCGAGUGGAAUUCCUGGUGUAGCGGUGGAAUGCGCAGAUAUCAGGAGGAACACCGAUGGCGAAGGCAGCUCGCUGGGACGGUACUGACGCUGAGGCGCGAAAGCUAGGGGAGCGAACGGG